rnacentral:lncRNA from 1 species
GAAGGAUCACCUACAAACAUUAUCAACAUAGAGACAUAGAAAACUAGAUGAAUGGAGAUCAAACUAAGAGGAAACUCCAACUCAUAAGAAACAUUGUCAUCCCUCUUUAAAACCAAGUACGAGCUGACAUAUCGAGGGCUUAACAUCUCCUUCUUACAAAACUGCAUUACUCCCUUCAUGGGAGACACCAUUUAGAAUACCAAAUAGCCAACCUUGAAAUCCAACUCCCUACGC